rnacentral:snoRNA from 1 species
GCGUUGAGCAGUAAAUUGUCGCUGAUUGAUAAUUAGGCGACGAUAAUGCAAACAACGGUAGAAAAAACUAACGACAUUUAAUAAUACAUUGACCACUAAAUCCCAUGAACAUUGCAUUUUGAGGUGUCGCGACAUGUA